GGUGUCCUGCAUGGCAACAGAGCACAGACCUCAUCCUAGACUUUGCCUGCGUUCUCCCAGCACUGCAGUUAAUCACACAGGGGUAGGAGCCCAGGUCACUCACCCCAACCACAUCCCACUGGGGAAUGCACUGAAAGCAGGACUUCCAAGAAAAAUCCAUUCUCCAGAACGCAGCACGAAGGUUCCUGAUGCAGAGCUGGUGGCUGAGCUGUAAAAACAAAGCUCUUUGCUGGCAUCUUUUGAGCCAGCAGAUUACCUGGAGUUUGGUCACCUGCACAUCACCCAGUUAAGUCUUACAACAGCAAUGGUCUCACAAAGACUAUAAAUCAGCAUCAAAGGAGUUUAUGUAAAGUAAAACAUAUAGAGAUAUAUGUGGGGUUUUUUUUUAGGGAUUCUGGAGAUUUCUUCCUAUUAUUUGGCAACUUUUCUCCCUAUCCAAAGAAUGUGAGAAGAUUCACUGCUAAAAUCCAGGUGUAAAUACAAUGUAAAUAUUUAGCAAAGUGGAGUAAGCUGUCUAGUUAAUAUGCUGACAAAGAGCUGUUGGCUCUUGUUGCUAUCUAAACAGAGUUACCUAAACAGCCAGGGCUGAGCAGGCAGGAGCACGUUCUGCUGUCUGGAGGGCGAUUUUUCACUGAUGAGUGUUUUCCAGCAAAGACCCUCCACUUCUCUCUGAACACUAACACAGUUUGGACCAAUCUUAAGCUGCAUGUAACAAAAAGAUAGCAACCAGCUCUGCUGCCUGAAGGGGCUUGGAUUGUCAAAGUCACCCUCAGUAUGAGUAGGGAACAAACAGCACAAAGGCAUGGAGGGGUCACAGGAGCUAGCAACAGGCACUGAAGCUUCCCAAAAACAUCAGUGAUAUUUGGCACAGAGAGAUUUCUGCAAUGUUUAAGUCACUUAUAGGACAACCCAUGGGAAUUCUAGUUCAUCAAUGGAAAAAAAUUGACAGUUGACUUAAAUUCUUCAUCAUUAAAAAAAAAACAAAUUGCUGCACCAGGAAUUAAUCACAUGUGGGAACUUCCAUUAAGAACCAGGUACAACUCAGAUUACAUUCAGGAAGUCAAUCAGGGUCAGUCCUGAGUUGGUUCCACUCAGUGCAUUGCAGCAUGCCAAGAAGCAGAGGAGGAAGGACCUUUUUUUACAUCCCCCCUCAGCAAGACCAAACAGAGGCUAUGGGGAACCAGUUCCCACAGUGCCACAUGUGAUCCCAGGAACUGGAGCCCAUCAGACCUCGAUUCACAAGCAACCAGAGCCAAACUCUGUUUCGUCAGUGCUGUUUUCCUCCUUACGUGCUACACGCUGCCAGAACAUUGAGCAGUACUUGAAAGCAAUUCUUACAUCUGCUUCCGAAGUAUACCAAAAUUAGUGCAGAUGUUGACCAGGAAGAUUAAGAAGCAUCUGGCACUUCAAACCAACUCCCCUGAAGGGGUGGGUCUGAUCAUUUUCUGCAGGUUCUGCAUGCCUGCAUUGCAGUCAGGUACACUGAAGGAUGUAAGAACUGUCUCUCAGCUCGUGUAGUCAUCCCCACAAUCCUCCCCUCAUGAACAAGACUCAACUGUCAGACACUAAAUCCCUAAGAAAAGGGUACUGAGAUGCCAACACUACAUAUUACCUCUCAAAGGCUCAGAUAACUUCAAGGUGCACAUCUGCAUUUCCUCCCUUUCACCUGGAGGAAGUCUGACAUUGGCAAUGCUGCCAGUGGACUUCAAAACCAAAUCACAAAUUAAAAGAUCCACAGAAAUAACAACCCUCAGCACCGGCGAAGCCAUCAGCUGCCCCAGAGCAGGAGCUGCACCCGCCUCCAUCACAUAAACCCAGCUUGCUAGGCUGCAAGCAUUGCCUCAUGCAUGGCACAUCCAUCGCAUCGCCCUCAGCCACGCUCAGGCACCCCUUGCUGCUGGAUGCUCAGGUUUUGCUGACGCUAUUGCUGUCAGGUUGCUGUGUUCUACCCCUUGGACACAGCCAUUCAUUACGGAGCACAUGGGUCUGUCGCCACAUCCCAUUUGCUCUCCACACCAUAUGUUAAAGCAGU